AAUGGAUGGCUGAAGACAAAGGAGGGAUGGAUGCGGGGAGGGCAGAGUGCUCUCUAACCAAGUACCAGACUCGCCAAGGCAGAACCAGCGUGGAGCUUAACUUACCACGAGGGGCUCGGUAAAUAUGCAGAGGGAACACUAAGCAACUUACAGAAGGGAGAGACUUAGCAAGUCUCUUCUAUGGGAAUAGGGUACCCCCAUUCCCAGUGGCCUACCCACCCCUCUCCCUCCCGUGGGCUGUAGGAAAUUCUGAAAGGACUCAGCCUCGAACGAGAGAACGCCGACAGUAAGAGGAUUCUUGCCCUGAUGCUUACCUGAGCAUCUCUGAAUUUGUUCUCCAGCCCACUGGCCUGGCUGCCCUGGAGCAGAGGGACACGGGGACUCAGCUCAGACCAUAAACCAGUAGGAUUAACCCCCAUGUCAAUACCUGCUUGUUGUCAGGGAGCUGCUCGGUCGCCGGAGAGCCCUCUGAGAUGACGUAUUCCCUGCCACCUUGGCCUGCUCCCCUGGGCUGCCACGUCUCCCCUUCCCUUGUUUAUAUCGAGUAACCUGAGCUCCGCGGGCCUGACCGAGGCGUGUGAGUUCUGACACGGCCCAGAGAGGCCAGGAUGGCUGCUGUCGGCCUUGUUCUCAUUACUCUGCUGAGACGGGGCCUUGAUCACAUUACCCAUCAUUCAGGCUCCCCAGGGGAUCAGCCUCUGGUUCCGAGGGCACAAGGUAAACCCGGGGAGGUCUUAGCAACGCCUAUCACUGUCGACCCCCGGGGAACUUGCCGAAUGUAAGGCAUUCGCGCUCCGUCUCCCACCGGACCCCGGGGCAGGCAGCGAGCCCGCCCCCCACCAGUGCACCUCGCGGUGCCAAAGGAAAGGCGCCUCAUGCUAUUAGCUCAAAUAAGGAAAAUCAUGCUGGGGAGAUUGAAUUUUCUGCAGAGCUGGUGAAACUCGGUGAUUUCUGAACACGUGGUGCUGGCAGGCGUGGGGACGUGGGCUGCCAGCCUGCGAUUUAUCAGCCGAUUCUGGAGUCUAUGCACAGGUUUAUUAAAUCAGCAUGAGUCCCUCUCCUGCCUUCCUUGCAAAUGUGAAUCGCAAAUCGCCAAAACCCAGAGAACACACGUGACCCGAGAGUUUCUUCUUGGGGCCUGGAGCAUCUAGAGAGCUGGGGGAAGAGUGCUGUCAGUGGGAGGUCUCCACCAGCCGGCGGAACGCCCAGGCCAGGCAGAGAGAAGCAGCUAGGUGGGGUGCCCAGAGCACAGGUGCAGGCGGGGCACAGACCGGGGCCCACCUCCGCCCUUACGGGCUCAUCCGCUCAGUCCUGCCUGUGCCAGGCAGUGGGCUGUGCAUGGGGCACUCGGCCCAGAGAAGGACUUACCCCAGGUUCAGCCCUCACAGAGCUUAUGGUCUCAUCAAAGUUUUUGGAGCGAUUGGAACUGUGUUUCUAUCACUGGCCUCGCUGGAAAACGUGGGACACAUCAUUUCACUUCUCUGAACCUCAGUUUCCCCAUUCUGCCACCUACAGGCAGAAGAGUAAAUCAAAGGGACAUCAAGUCCCGCACGUGGUGCCUGGCUCAUCAUUCCUGCUGAACCAGCAUCUGCCACUUCUCUGGAAAGAAGGCAGUGACGAGUGACAUCCUACCGAAACCAGGGGGUCCUCUCCCCAUCCGAUCCCUACCAACCCUCCCGGUUAUGCCCAGACAACUGGGAGCCCGGACACCAGGCUCAGCCCCCUGGAGGCGGUGUGCUGGCACCCACGCAGCUCCGGCUGGAGAGAGCAGUUCUGCCCUGGGGCACCUGCCCAGGACUCCUGCCCCCUGGAGCCUCAGUUUCAGGCCAUCCUUCCUGGCAAUCUACAGCAGCACUUCUUUCUCCCUCGGUCUUUCGGCCAGUAGGUCCUGAGCACACUCUCAGCCUCCAGUCGUCGCCUCUCUACAAAAUGACCAAGAUGGCAAUGAGAAGCUUCCUCGCUACAGCCAGGGCGUCCUGCCACCCUGGCCCACCUUCCGCAGGUCGAGGGCCAAAGACCCGAGAUUUCCCUUUAAUGCCCCCGCUGGGUUGCCUACUCCCCAGCAAACUUCGCUCCUGGACUCUUGGGCUUUCAGUCCCAGGCGCCCUGGACCAUCACCUCUGGGGCACAGAGCUCUCUGUCUUGGCCUGGGAGCAGGUGGAUUCACUCCUCCCCAUGGGACCUGAAGAGAGUGAGCCUAUCAAAGCCAGAGCCCUCCCCGCCCCCGCUGGAGAACUAGACGGCACUCCGUCUAUGGAGGGUGCAUCGCCGUGGCUGCUCUCACCUUCUGAGAUGGCCCACACGCUG
rnacentral:lncRNA from 1 species